rnacentral:rRNA from 1 species
UUUGAUCCCGAGGAUUUCCGAAAUGGGGGCAACCCGGCCGGAGUCAUGUCCGGUCAUCACCGGGCUGAAUUCAUAGGUCCCGUUGAAGCGAACGGGGGAAAGUGAACCAUCUCAGUACCCCCAGGAAGAGAAAACAAUAGUGAUUCCGUCAGUAGCGGCGAGCGAACGCGGACGAGCCCAAACUGUUCAGGUGCAAGCCUGCAAGCGUUGCCUGGAUGGAGUUGAGGGAGGUUGCUUGGGUUGGUUGCAGCCAGCCCGGGAAGUUACAAAUCACCAGUCUAGCAGAAGGUUUCUGGAAAGAGCCGCCGGAGAGGGUGAAAGCCCCGUAAGCGAAAGGCUUGGUGACUUCCUUGCAAUGUUCCCGAGUACCACGGGACACGUGGAACCCUGUGGGAAUCCGGGUCGACCAUGACCCAAGGCUAAAUACUCCUCUGCGACCGAUAGUGAACAAGUACCGUGAGGGAAAGGUGAAAAGCACCCCUGUUAGGGGAGUGAAAUAGUACCUGAAACCGUGUAUCUACAAGCAGUGGAAGCACUAUGGCCCGUCUUCGGACGMGCAACGUGCGACCGCGUGCCUUUUGCAUAAUGAGCCGGCUAGUUA